rnacentral:rRNA from 1 species
AGAGUUUGAUCAUGGCUCAGAGCGAACGCUGGCGGCAGGCUUAACACAUGCAAGUCGAGCGGGCGUAGCAAUACGUCAGCGGCAGACGGGUGAGUAACGCGUGGGAACAUACCUUUUGGUUCGGAACAACCCAGGGAAACUUGGGCUAAUACCGGAUAAGCCCUUACGGGGAAAGAUUUAUCGCCGAAAGAUUGGCCCGCGUCUGAUUAGCUAGUUGGUGAGGUAAUGGCUCACCAAGGCGACGAUCAGUAGCUGGUCUGAGAGGAUGAUCAGCCACAUUGGGACUGAGACACGGCCCAAACUCCUACGGGAGGCAGCAGUGGGGAAUAUUGGACAAUGGGCGCAAGCCUGAUCCAGCCAUGCCGCGUGAGUGAUGAAGGCCCUAGGGUUGUAAAGCUCUUUUGUGCGGGAAGAUAAUGACGGUACCGCAAGAAUAAGCCCCGGCUAACUUCGUGCCAGCAGCCGCGGUAAUACGAAGGGGGCUAGCGUUGCUCGGAAUCACUGGGCGUAAAGGGUGCGUAGGCGGGUCUUUAAGUCAGGGGUGAAAUCCUGGAGCUCAACUCCAGAACUGCCUUUGAUACUGAAGAUCUUGAGUUCGGGAGAGGUGAGUGGAACUGCGAGUGUAGAGGUGAAAUUCGUAGAUAUUCGCAAGAACACCAGUGGCGAAGGCGGCUCACUGGCCCGAUACUGACGCUGAUGCACGAAAGCGUGGGGAGCAAACAGGAUUAGAUACCCUGGUAGUCCACGCCGUAAACGAUGAAUGCCAGCCGUUAGUGGGUUUACUCACUAGUGGCGCAGCUAACGCUUUAAGCAUUCCGCCUGGGGAGUACGGUCGCAAGAUUAAAACUCAAAGGAAUUGACGGGGACCCGCACAAGCAGCGGAGCGUGUGGGUUAAUUCGACGCGACGCGCAGAACCUUACCAGGGUUUGACAUGCCGGUGCACCGACCCGAGACGGUCGUGCCCGCAAGGGACGCCGGCACAGGUGCUGCAUGGCUGUCGUCAGCUCGUGCCGUGAGGUGUUGGGUUAAGUCCCGCAACGAGCGCAACCCCCAUCGUCGGUUGCAUCUGUCCGACGAGACUGCCUCGAUCAACGGGGAGGAAGGUGGGGAUGACGUCAAGUCAGCACGGCCCUUACAUCCUGGGCGACACACACGCUACAAUGGUCGCGACAACGGGGAGCCAACCCGCGAGGGGGAGCCAAUCCCAGCAAAGGCGGCCUCAGUUCGGAUUGCAGGCUGCAACCCGCCUGCAUGAAGUCGGAGUUGCUAGUAACCGUGGGUCAGCACACCACGGUGAAUACGUUCCCGGGUCUUGUACACACCGCCCGUCACACCACGAAAGUCGGCAACCCCUGAAGCCGCUGGGCUAACGGAGCGAUCCGAGGCAGGCGUCGAGGGUAGGGUCGGUGAUUGGGGUGAAGUCGUAACAAGGUAACCGUA